rnacentral:rRNA from 1 species
GACGUAGGUGGCGAACGUUAUCCGGACUUAUUGGGCGUAAAGGAUGCGUAGACGGUAAAAUAAGUUAUUAGUUAACGCCAAGCUCAACUUGGCUGAAGCUAGUAAUACUGCUUUGCUAGAGGAUGGGAGAGGUUGAUGGAAGUUCUAUGAGGGAGGGGUAGAAAUCCGUUCGAUCCAGUAGGGUACCGCCAAAAAAAAGGGCGAAGGCAAUUAACUAUUCCAUUUCUGACGUUGAGGCAUGAAAGCGUGGGGAGCAAACCGGG